CCUANGGGUGGCAGCAGGCGCGAAAACUUUACACUACACGAAAGUGUGAUAAGGGAAUUCCAAGUGUGCAUAUACCAUAUGCACUUUUCUAAAGUUUAAAAAGCUUUGGGAAUAAGGGGUGGGCAAGACUAGUGCCAGCCGCCGCGGUAAAACUAGCAUCUCAAGUGGCAGUCACCAUUAUUGGGCUUAGAGCGUCCGUAGCUCGUUUGGAAAGUCUCUGGUGAAAUCCUGCGGCUUAACCGUAGGGCGUGCCGGAGAAACUACCAGACUUGAAGGCAGGAGAGGUCAGGGGUACGUCUGGGGUAGGGGUGAAAUCCUAUAAUCCUAGACGGACCAACAGUGGCGAAGGCGCCUGACAUGAAUGCGCUUGACAGUGAGGGACGAGAGCCAAGAGCGCGAAACGGAUUAGAUACCCUGNUANUC
rnacentral:rRNA from 1 species